rnacentral:lncRNA from 11 species
CCGCCCACUCCCUCCGGGCUCGGACACGCCCCAAAGGAGGAGGCGCGCACGGGCGGGCGCGACACACACGCACGUGAGAGAAGGCGAAGCAGAAGCCCCCAAAAACGUUCGUUUCUCUCCUGGGACAGCAAAGAAUCGCAUAAACUGACGCGGGCGGGCAAAGAAAUCUCAAUGCAUUUUUAAAAAAAAUUCUUCUCUGUUGUCCCAAAAAUCUGAGCAUCUCCUGAGCUGGGAUCAAUCUAUAUUUUUGGGAGAGUUAAAACUUAAAAGUAGGCCAAGCAAGGAAGGGACACAAACACACCCAACGCAACACUCAUCAACUUCUAUGUAUGUAUAAAAGACGAGCAUGGUUGAAAAAGUGGAGGAGAUGAAG